rnacentral:rRNA from 1 species
CGGGGGGAGCAAGCGUUGUUCGGAUUUACUGGGCGUAAAGGGCGCGUAGGCGGCCACCGCAAGUCGACUGUGAAAUCUCCGGGCUUAACCCGGAACGGUCAGCCGAUACUGCGGGGCUAGAGUGCAGAAGGGGCAACUGGAAUUCUCGGUGUAGCGGUGAAAUGCGUAGAUAUCGAGAGGAACACCUGCGGCGAAGGCGGGUUGCUGGGCUGACACUGACGCUGAUGCGCGAAAGCUAGGGGAGCGAACGGGAUUAGAUACCCCGGUAGUCCUAGCCUUAAACGAUGAAUGCUUGGUGUCUGGGGUUCUAUAGUCCCCGGGUGCCGUCGCUAACGCUUUAAGCAUUCCGCCUGGGGAGUACGGUCGCAAGACUG